UACAGAGGUCCCAAGCGUUGUUCGGAUUCACUGGGCGUAAAGGGUGCGUAGGUGGUGGGGUAAGUCGGAUGUGAAAGCUCGGAGCUUAACUCCGAAAUUGCAUUGGAAACUACCCUGCUAGAGGGUCGGAGGGGGACUGGAAUACUUGGUGUAGCAGUGAAAUGCGUAGAUAUCAAGUGGAACACCAGUGGCGAAGGCGAGUCCCUGGACGACUCCUGACACUGAGGCACGAAAGCUAGGGGAGCAAACAGG
rnacentral:rRNA from 1 species